rnacentral:rRNA from 1 species
CGAUUAGCUAGUUGGUGAGGUAAAGGCUCACCAAGGCACCGAUCGGUAGCUGGUUUGAGAGAACGACCAGCCACACUGGGACUGAGACACGGCCCAGACUCCUACGGGAGGCAGCAGUGGGGAAUCUUGCGCAAUGGGCGAAAGCCUGACGCAGCAACGCCGCGUGGGGGAUGAAGGCUCUCGGGUUGUAAACCCCUUUCAGCAGGGACGAAAUUGACGGUACCUGCAGAAGAAGCCCCGGCCAACUACGUGCCAGCAGCCGCGGUAAUACGUAGGGGGCGAGCGUUGUCCGGAUUCAUUGGGCGUAAAGAGCUCGUAGGCGGCUGACUAAGUCAGGUGUGAAACCUCCAGGCUCAACCUGGAGUCGCCACCUGAUACUGGUCUGGCUAGAGUCCGGUAGGGGACCACGGAAUUCCUGGUGUAGCGGUGAAAUGCGCAGAUAUCAGGAGGAACACCGGUGGCGAAGGCGGUGGUCUGGGCCGGCACUGACGCUGAGGAGCGAAAGCGUGGGGAGCGAACAGGAUUAGAUACCCUGGUAGUCCACGCCGUAAACGUUGGGCACUAGGUGU